rnacentral:rRNA from 1 species
AUUGAACGCUGGCGGCAGGCCUAACACAUGCAAGUCGAGCGGCAGCGGGAAAGUAGCUUGCUACUUUUGCCGGCGAGCGGCGGACGGGUGAGUAAUGACUGGGAAAUUGCCCAGUCGAGGGGGAUAACAGUUGGAAACGACUGCUAAUACCGCAUACGCCCUACGGGGGAAAGCAGGGGACCUUCGGGCCUUGCGCGAUUGGAUCUGCCCAGGUGGGAUUAGCUAGUUGGGGAGGUAAUGGCUCACCAAGGCGACGAUCCCUAGCUGGGCUGGGAGGAUGAUCAGCCACACUGGAACUGAGACACGGUCCAGACUCCUACGGGAGGCAGCAGUGGGGAAUAUUGCACAAUGGGGGAAACCCUGAUGCAGCCAUGCCGCGUGUGUGAAGAAGGCCUUCGGGUUGUAAAGCACUUUCAGCGAGGAGGAAAGGUUGAUGCCUAAUACGUAUCAACUGUGACGUUACUCGCAGAAGAAGCACCGGCUAACUCCGUGCCAGCCGCCGCAGUAAAAC